GGGUUGUGAGGUUAAGCGACUAAGCGUACACGGUGGAUGCCCUGGCAGUCAGAGGCGAUGAAGGACGUGCUAAUCUGCGAUAAGCGUCGGUAAGGUGAUAUGAACCGUUAUAACCGGCGAUUUCCGAAUGGGGAAACCCAGUGUGUUUCGACACACUAUCAUUAACUGAAUCCAUAGGUUAAUG
rnacentral:rRNA from 2 species